rnacentral:misc_RNA from 1 species
CAUUCAGUAGCCUAGCUACUUGUUUAUACCCUUGUUUUUUGCGUACCUUAUUGUUUCCUCGGUCGGGCUUGCCUGCCGAGUUGGACAAAACUAUAACCUCUUUUAAAUCUUCAAUCAGCGUCUGAAUUAUACAUAAUAAUUA